rnacentral:rRNA from 1 species
AGCGAACGCUGGCGGCAGGCUUAACACAUGCAAGUCGAGCGGGCACUUUCGGGUGUCAGCGGCGGACGGGUGAGUAACGCGUGGGAACGUGCCCUCUGGUUCGGAAUAACUCAGGGAAACUUGAGCUAAUACCGGAUACGCCCUUUUGGGAAAAGGCUUGCUGCCGGAGGAUCGGCCCGCGUCUGAUUAGCUAGUUGGUGAGGUAACAGCUCACCAAGGCGACGAUCAGUAGCUGGUCUGAGAGGAUGAUCAGCCACACUGCGACUGAGACACGGCCCAGACUCCUACGGGAGGCAGCAGUGGGGACUAUUGGACAAUGGGCGCAAGCCUGAUCCAGCCAUGCCGCGUGAGUGAUGAAGGCCUGAGGGUUGUAAAGCUCUUUUAUCCGGGACGAUAAUGACGGUACCGGAGGAAUAAGCCCCGGCUAACUUCGU